AGGAUGAACGCUGGCGGCGUGCCUAAUACAUGCAAGUCGAGCGGUAACACUUCGGGUGACGAGCGGCGGACGGCUGAGUAACGCGUAGGAAUCUACCCCGAACUGAGGGAUAAGCACCAGAAAUGGUGUCUAAUACCGCAUACCGUCUACGGACGAAAGCUUCGGCGGUUUGGGAAGAGCCUGCGUCCGAUUAGCUAGUUGGUAAGGUAAAAGCUUACCAAGGCUACGAUCGGUAGCUGGUCUGAGAGGAUGACCAGCCAGACUGGGACUGAGAACGGCCCAGACUCCUACGGGAGGCAGCAGUAGGGAAUUUUCCACAAUGGGC
rnacentral:rRNA from 1 species